UGGAUCCACAUCCUUGCCGUGACCUUAAGGAAUACCUGCCAGUCUGGGCCGCUAGGGUGCACCCCACACACGUCCCCGGACUUUCCCGCCCAUGGAGCCUUGGGCGUGGAGUUCACAGUAUGCGGAGGAACUCAGAGACGUUAGGAACGCUGAAGCUGAAUGACAAAGUCUGCCCGAGCCUUUUUUUGCCUGCGCGGACCCGGAAGCUGGGUAUCCGAAGGAACACACUGAAGGCUACGCACGUCCGGAAACCGAUACCGAGUGGUUUUCCCCAGGCCGGUGGGUGGGUAGGCGAGCAGCCCCGAGUGGGUGGAACAGCCCCUCUGGCAGCAGGGACAGCUACUGGUUCAGCCCACUUCACCUGAAAAUGUGAAGAGAACAACUGUCUAAGACAAGAAUAGUCUAAUAGGUGGUACCCACAUCUGAGGACCAGAACCAUUUUGGGGAGCCAAAGCCAGUGACUUCUCUACUUCCCUCUCCUAGCACCUACCUCACCUGACAUUUCAAGGAAGACUUGGAAACUGGGAGCACUCCAGGCAGCUUUUCCCUAAGCCAUGAAGCUUUGGGCCCAAAUGCUAUGGGCCCUCCUUUCUGGCCCUGGGAGAAGGAGGGGAGGCAUCCGAGGCUUGGCAUUCAGCUCCUGGCAGUCCCACCCACCUCUGGCUGAGCUGUUGAGUCCCACAGGGUUGGUCAGCCACUGGACAAGGGUCUUUGAAAAGAGAGGCAUUCCAGAAGCCAGAGAAUCCAGUGAGUACAUCGUGGCCCAUGUCCUCGGAGCCAAAACAUUUCAGAGCCUGAAGCCAGUACUUUGGACACAGCCCCUGACUCCUCAGCAACUGCAGUGUAUCCAGGUUCUGUGUAGCCGCCGAUUGCAGAGGGUACCUGUGCAGUACAUCCUUGGGGAGUGGGACUUUCGGGGGCUUAGUCUGAAGAUGUUGCCCCCAGUGUUCAUUCCUCGGCCAGAAACAGAGGCACUAACUGCUUGGGUGUCUUUGCCAAGUUGGCAGGUUGGCACCAACGCUGAUCCAGGCCCCUCUGCCUCACAGGAACUUGUUGAAUGGGUACUGGAGGAGGUGGCCCAGAGGCCCAAUGUGGUAGAAGCCCAAGGUGGUCCCCUCAUUCUGGAGGUGGGCUGUGGAUCAGGAGCCAUCUCCCUCAGCCUACUGAGCCAACUCCCUCAGAUCCUGGCCAGAGAGGAAAAAGCUAGCCAAGUCAUUGCUGUGGAUAAAGAGGAAGCUGCCAUCAAUCUGACCUAUGAGAAUGCUCAGAGGCUUCGGUUGCAGGACAGGAUUCAGAUCAUCCCCUUUGAUGUGACCUCAGUGGGGAGCUGGACACACCUUUUGCCCUGGGGCCCCAUGGACCUGAUUGUCAGCAACCCUCCCUAUAUCUUCCACCACAACAUGGAGCAGCUGGCCCCAGAGAUCCGAAGCUAUGAAGACCCAGUGGCCCUGGAUGGUGGGGAAGAAGGCAUGGACAUCAUUACCCAUAUCCUGACCCUGGCACCCCAAUUCCUGAAGGACUCUGGAAGUAUCUUUUUGGAAGUAGAACCGAGGCACCCAGAGCUCGUCAGCAACUGGCUUCAGAGUCAUCCUGACCUGUGCCUCAAUCUUGUGGCUGUACGUAGGGACUUCUGUGGGAGGCCCCGGUUCCUGCAUGUCCAGAGGUCUGGGCCAUAGUGUGUCUAUCAUGUGGAUGCUUGGCUAGGGCCCCAGCCUGACUGAAUGCCUGGCUGACCAUUUCUUCUUGGAAUGCUGCUAAGAGGGAGAUGAAUGGUGCUUUCCAGAAACCCAGCUUUUAGCUGAAUAUCCUUUCCAAGUUUCUCUGGAUGGGGCUGGAAGAAUGAGAAGCUAAGACAGUACGUACCAAGUUAUGGCCUCCACCCAGCUCCUUCCUUAAGCUAGUCUGGUAGAUUCAUGGCAACCAGGAGGACCAAAGACCAGCACUCCUGUCAACAGUAAUAGGAAACUUCUGGUUGGCAAAUGUCGAUUUGAAACUGUAUCAGAGUGAGUACCAAGGAGACCCAGCAGGCUCAUUCUGCCAGACCUCUCCCCCAUGCCCUGGUACUUUCAUGGGCCUGACCUGAAGUGCUUUAGCCAGAGGCAGGUGGUCUGGUGGGCAGUAUCUUCUGUUGGAGUCAGUAGUGCUGAAUUCUAGGACUGGGUCUUGCAUUUACCAAUGCAGGCUUCUUUCCUCUGUGAAUCUGGCUCUUCUAAGCCCAAGGGCAAUGCAAAGCAGAAGCCUCACUUUACUCUUGGUCAGCCAAGUAGAGCUUUCAUGCCCACUAUCCAGAUGGUAUCAUAGGAGGUAGCCAAGUGGAAACAAGAACUUAGGUUCCAGCCUUAAGGUAGUCUAUAUUCCUGGAGUCAUACCAGGCCUGGAUGAUACCCAAUGCUAUGGUGAGGUGAGGGGAGGGGAGUUCACCUUGUAGAGGCCAUGCUGCAGGUCCCAGAGCCCUGGUGUUCUGUCCCAACCUUGAACUUUUCCACAUAGCUGCUAUAUAAGGAACCUGGGAGGGCAAGGCUCCUUAUUUCCUGAGCGAGCCCCCAUGCCUUCCAAAGUCCCCCCCCCCUUUUUUUUCUCUUUCCCUUUCUUUCCACUGUCUGUGCUCUUUGGCUCUUCAGAAGCAUUUCAGGGCGGCCGCCAUAACCUCCUAGCUGUCUGGUACACCCUUGUUCCUCCAGCUUGGGAUACACCUCUACCAAUGCUGGCCUCCUUGACAGUCUCACCCUGCUGUCCUCAGGCCCAUGACUAAGGAAGGGCCUUGGCAAACAUGUAGGUAUGGCACCCAAGAGAGUGUAAUGAUGGAGAAUGACAGUGAAGGGGCAGCUGGGGUCAUUGGAGCAGGAACCACCCUGGGGACAACUUCCUUCCUAGAAAAAUAUGGGGCUUGACUCCACUGGGAAAAAGGUCUAAGCCAAGUGAAUUGGCAAAGCAGUGCCUUAAGCCUGUACCCACAACUUGAUUGGGUCCUGGAUGUGGAGCUGUGAUGUGGAAGAUCUAUCAGCCUGGAUUCACAUUCUGUAGUCUGCCCCUCACCAGGAUGAGACCUUGGGCAGAUGACUUCACCUUUUCAGCCUUGGCUUCCAGGCCCAGCAAUAUGGGACCAGAGUGCUUUAUUUUAUAGGAUAUUUGUGAGGGGGCCCAUGAACUGCAUUUUUCUUGCAGGUGUUUUGAUCGUCUGCAAACAAGAGAACAGACCGGAAUGCCCUCCUGCAUCACAUGCUCAGCACUGAUGUAAGGCAGGCAUAGACAGUAAUAGGAAACUUCUGGUAGGCAAAUGUCGAUUUGAAACUGGACCAGAGUGGUUACCAAGACAGUCUGGAAAGGAGGGACAUCAGGGAUUUCAGUCCUGUAUUCAUAACUUCUCUCUGCCCUCUGGAGAUGGAACCACUGAGAGGCUGGCAGCCUACAUCUCCCUUUAGCCCCUCCUCACCAGGGCCAGAGUGUCCUAAGGCCUAGGCCAGGGCAGCUAGUGGCUUCACUUAGGGCAAACCAGGCUCACCAGCCCUGUCCCCCACCCCCACCCACCCCGCCCUUAGUCCUGAGGCUAGAGCCAGAGACUUUAGCCAUGUUUUCUGGUACAUGUCAAAGAAGACCUUGAGGCCAGAACAUGUGGAGCGGAUGGUACAGUCCAGGCUCUGCAAGCUCCUGAGGUCUUGAGGGAUGUCCCUAUUGCUCACCCAGCCUCCUUAAACAUGAGCCCAGAACCUGGGUAGCAGGUAUAGGAGUCCUUCUUCAAGGUACUCUGAGAAAGAAUUCCACUUGUUCCUCUGACAACUGCGGUCUUGUCUCACAGUUUGGUGCUUCCCUAAGCCAUCCUUGGUUUUCUUCAUGGAGCUUAUUGAAAUGUGCUGCUUUAUUGAAAUGUGCUACCAAACCCCUAACUGCAAGAAAUAUACCCUUUCCUACCCCCUGACUCCCAUUUGAACCCUGGUCCAUCACUUGCUCCCAAUCUCUGUCCUAAAUCCUUGGCUGACUCCCUAUGACCUAGGUAGGGAUGGUGUCUGUGCAGAAUCCAGGUCUGAAGAGGUCAGGGAGGAUGGCUGUGGGAAAGGCCCUGGGAAUCCCUUCCUGGCCCCAUUAGUGCUGAGUAAGUGAACAAAGGGUUUGACUCUUGACAGGUUUGAGAACUGCUGGCUUAAGGUGGGAACCCAUUUAACUUCUACAGACCUGCAUGCCUUUUCUUUUCCCAUCUGCCUUUAGAUUAUUUUUUCUGCUGCCCUGGACUUCGGCCUUCUUGUAUUACCCUCCACCCUCUAAACACACCUUCCCUUUGUCCUGUCAGUGCUUCCAUCGGAGUGCUGUUGCUCACCACUCACCCUCCAAGCUCCAACACAAAUGCUGCCUCCUUUGGGACACCUGCCCUGACCUCUGUGUUCUCCCCACCUGCCCCUAACCUAUAUCUUUGCUGGUGCCAAUGACAUUCUGUCCCAUACAUUUGGAAACCUGCCUGUCUUGCUUAUCUCCCUGGGGCCCCCUGUGAGUCUGGCAUACUCAAGUUCAUUAAAUGUCCACAGUGCCUACAUUUUCUAGGAUAGGGCUAGAACUUCUCAUUUGGCCCACAUCUGACCUGAUGGCAACUCUCAUGAAUUUCAGUCAGCAGAGAGGAAGCCGUGAGGGCCUGGCUUCCUGCCUGAGUCAGGCAGCUGUUCAGGUUGAGCCAUGGCUGCUUUGAGGGCUCAAGUGCACCUGAUCCCUGCAUGACAGUCACGCCAGGAGAACAGGCUGUCCUUGGCGGCAGCAGGGUCAGGCACCAAGUUUCCUGGAGGGUGGUAGCUAGGACAGUGGCCUGAUCCUCCUUUAAGACUCUUCUGCCAAGGAUAAGAGUCCUAUACUGUACUGAGACUGGCAAAGCAACCCUGUCCUCCUCUCAGAAUAAUAGCCUCCAAAGAUGCCCAUGUCCUAAUCUUCCAAAGCUGGAACUGUUACCUUAUGUGGCAAAAGGAACUUUGCAGGUAUAAUUAAGGAUGGAAAUAUUGUCCUGGAUUGUAAUUAAACUCAGUUUAAUCAUAAGGGUCUUCUUUAUAUGAAGGAGGCAGGAAUAUUUACUGGAGAAGUUGUGACAAUGAAAAUAGAGGUCAAGGUGAUGCAAUUGCUAGAGGAAGGGGCCAUGAGCCAAGGAAUGCAGACAGCCUGACCUCCCCUAGAGCCCCAGGAAAAAAUGCAGUCCUGUGAUACCUUGAUUUUAAGCCCAGUGAAACUGAAUUUGGACUUUUAACCUCUAGAAAUGUAAGGCGAUAAUUAUGGAGGUUUUUUUUCUUUUGUUGUUGUUGCUGUUGUUUUCUUUUGUAGUGUUGGAGACUGAAUUCAGAGUUAUUCUACCACUGAACUACAUCCUCAACCCUUUUCAAACAUUAUUUUAGGGCUGGGUUGUGGCUCAGUGGUAGAGUGCUCGCCUAGCAUGUGUGAGGCCCUGGGUUCCAUCCUCAGCACCACAUAAAAAUAAAACGAAGAUGGGGGCUGGGGAUGUGGCUCAAGCGGUAGCGCGCUCGCCUGGCAUGCGUGCGGCCUGAGUUCGAUCCUCAGCACCGCAUGCAAACAAAGAUGUUGUGUCCGCCGAAAACUAAAAUAUAAAUAUUAAAAAAAAUUCUCUCUCUCUCUUUAAAAAAUAAAAAUAAAUAAAAUGAAGAUAUUGCUAUUUUAAAAAUAAAUAAAUAAAUAUUUUUUUAAAAUUAUUUUAAAUUUUGAAACAGGGUCUCACUUGGUUGCCCAGGCUGGCCUUAAACUUGUGAUCCUCCUACCUCAGCUUCCCAAGUAGUUGGGUUUACAAAUGUGUGCCACUGUACUUGGUGUUGUUUUAAGUCACGAAGUUUAUGGGAAUUUGUUGCAGCAGCCAUAAGAAACAUACAGAUUUUGGUGUCUAAAGCAGAGUACUGCUGUAAUAAACACUUCAAAAUGUAA